rnacentral:rRNA from 1 species
GUCUUUUUGAAUUUUAAUAUAAAGUCUAAUCUGCCCACUGAUAUUUAAUUUAAUGGCCGCAGUAUUUUAACUGUGCAAAGGUAGCAUAGUCAUUAGUCUUUUAAUUGGGGGCUUGUAUGAAUGAUUGAACGAGAUAUAAACUGUCUCAUAAAAAAUUUUUAAAUAGAAUUUAAUUUUUUAGUUAAAAAGCUAAAAUAUUUUUAAAAGACGAGAAGACCCUAUAGAUCUUUAUAAAAUAAUUUAUUCUUUUUUUUUAGAUUUAUUAAAUAUUAAUAAUUUAUUUUAUUUUGUUGGGGUGACAUUGAAAUUUAUUAAACUUUCAAAUUUUAAAAUCAUUAAUUUAUGAAUUUAUGAUCCUUUAUUAUAGAUUAAAAAUUUAAGUUACCUUAGGGAUAACAGCGUAAUUAUUUUGGAGUGUUCUUAUCGAUAAAAUAGAUUGCGACCUCGGAUGUUGGAUUAAGAAAAUUUUUGGUGUAGAAGCUAAAGAAUUAAGUCUGUUCGACUUUUAAUUUCUU